AUUGAACGCUGGCGGCAGGCCUAACACAUGCAAGUCGAACGAGUGGCGGACGGGCGAGCAAUGUCUGGGAAACUGCCUGAUGGAGGGGGAUAACUACUGGAAACGGUAGCUAAUACCGCAUACCAUCGGAUGUGCCCAGAUGGGAUUAGCUAGGAGGUGGGGGAAAGGCUCACCUAGGCGACGAUCCCUAGCUGGUCUGAGAGGAUGACCAGCCGCACUGGAACUGUGACACGGUCCAGACUCCUACGGGAGGCAGCAGUGGGGAAUAUUGCACAAUGGGCGAAAGCCUGAUGCAGCCGUGCCGGGUGUAUGAAGAAGUCCUUCGGAUUGUAAAGUACGUUCAGCUGGGAGGCGUUACCCGCAGAAGAAGCACCGGCUAACUCCGUGCCAGCAGCCGCGGUAAUUC
rnacentral:rRNA from 1 species